GGGGCCCGCUCCCGGCGAGGCGGCGGCGGUCGUCAGCGCGGCGCCGCCGCCAUGGCGCUGGAAGCGGAGGCGACGGGGGCUCCCCUGAGCUCUUUCCUGAGGGACUUCCCGUCUCCUUUGGGCCCGGGGGAGCCGCUGCCAUGGAGCUCCGCGGGCAGCGGCGCCCUGAGCCGCGCCGAGGUGCCGGGCGCGCUGGCCGAGCUGGCGAGGGGCCUCUUCGGCGGCAGGGGCGUCUCACCACUUCUUGCAGCAUCAUUGAUCCAUGCCGCAGUUGAUGAAGUUCUCCAAAUAGACUUUACUGAAUUUAAGAAGCAAAGUGUGGAAAUGGAGGAAGAAGGAGAUGAGGAAAGGUUCACCUUGCUGGAUGGAGACUCAUUGCAGCGCUGCUUCUUUAACAAGCUUCGGGAUGUCUGCUUUGAAUGGCAGAAGCAGUUGCCACCAUUGAGACCACUGAAGCGUUUCCUGCUCGUUUCCAUCCAUGCCAUCCGUAACACUCGACGGAAAAUGGAAGACCGCCACGUUUUGCUCCCAGAGUUCAAUCAGCUGUUUGGUUUAUCGGAUGACACUGAUCGAGCUUACUUUGCUGUAUUUGAUGGCCAUGGUGGAGUGGAUGCUGCCAAUUAUUCAGCAACACAUUUACAUGUAAAUGUUGGACUACAUGAAGAAAUUGUUAAGAAUCCAGCUGAGGCCUUGAAAUGCUCUUUUCAGAAGACAGAUGAAAUGUUUCUUUUUAAAGCCAAAAGAGAGAGGCUGCGGAGUGGUACAACAGGUGUAUCAGCCUUGAUUGUAGGGAACGAGUUACAUAUUGCCUGGCUUGGGGACUCACAGGUGAUGCUGGUGAGGCAGGGAAAAGCUGUGACUUUAAUGGAACCUCACAAACCAGAAAGAGAAGAUGAGAAAGCCCGUAUUGAGGCUCUUGGUGGCUGUGUAACCUACAUGGACUGCUGGCGAGUUAAUGGUACCUUGGCUGUUUCCAGAGCAAUUGGUGACCUGUAUCAGAAACCCUACAUCUCUGGUGAUGCAGAUGGAGAUUCAUUUGAACUAACUGGUUCUGAAGAUUACUUGCUCUUAGCCUGUGAUGGAUUCUUUGAUGCUAUCAAACCAUACGAGGUUGUAGACUUGGUCCUAGAUCAUUUAAUGCAAACCAAAGGAGUGGGUCUCAAGGCAGCAGAAAGGCUAGUGGCUGCUGCAAAGGAAAACGGAUCCAGUGAUAACAUCACUGUUCUAGUGGUGUUCUUGAGGAACCCUCAGGACAUCUUGGCAGACUGUUUCAGAGACCCUAAGAGCAUUGGGGCCGGUGAGGAUGCGCGGAGCUCAGCCUUUAACUUCCUCAGCUGUGAGGCAGCAGCCACACAGUGACAGAAUCCGUUUAGUCCAGAACAUUGAACUAAAGGAAUUGCUUUCUGUUGAAGAAGCCUCUAAUAAUAGGCAAAACGUAAAAUGACAAAUGGACAAAUAUUUAGCAAAAAAGCAAGCCUCCUUUUAUUGAGCUCCCUCAUGUCUUUUCUUUCCCUCUCUUCAAAAACUACUGAGCAGGCCUGGAGACUUGUGCAGCCAUUUUUCCUCUGGGAACAGAUUUUAAAGUGUGUCCCAGGGCUGCUGGUCAUAUCCCUCUGCUCUGGAAGUGGUAAGAAACCAUAGUAUGUAUAAGCUAAUGGAUGAAAAUGCUUGUUUGUGAAUUCUGAGUGAAGCUUUAAAUUAGCACUUAAAAAGAAUGCUGUAUGUUUUAUAUUUAAUUUUGAUGUUACUUUGAGGAUUGGGAUGAGAGAAGCUGUACCAUCAAAGAGAAGCUUGUUACUGUGUGUGGCCUGUAGAAACAGGUUUGAUGUGCCAGAGAACUGGGUGACCGGAAGUAGCAGCGUAUGUGUUGUGUAAGUUAUUUCUUUUUUCGUACCAAAAAUGAUAUUAAGAGAAUGUUGUGACCUUUCUUCAAACAAAGAGGUUAAAUUAUGUGUGUAUGAGGAGUGGGAAAUGAAGCUAAAUGCUCCAGAGAAAGAGCAAGAAAGCUAUCCAGAAAUGCCCCCGGCAAAAAUAAUACAAAAUCAGCUGCUCUUUGGGAUGCUCUAGUUUAUAAACUGGAAUCCAAUGUUUAACUGCACUGGAUAAUUUUUCUGUAGCAAACAUACUUUCUUGGCUAUUUAGCAACCUUGAAAGAAAGGACGCUUAUUGAUAUGUUUGAAAGAGGUCCUUUACAGGUUGUAUAUGCUCUGCCAGUGACAUGUUCUGUUUCUGCCAUAUUUUUAUGUGAACUAUAACAAGUGAAUAUUUUAUUUUUAUUUUAAAGGUUUAUUUGUUUAUUUACUGAACUUUAUAGUUGGAGGAUUUUUGCAGUGUUACUUUAUUUUGUUGUGUUUUUUAUUUAAAAUAGAAUUUUAAAGUGGCUAUGUCUUUAUUAUGUGGUUUUAAAAACUGACUACCCUCAAGUGCCUUAAAUACUUCAUCCAAGCAUAGACAUUGCUGGCUUCCUGUCAUAAUCUGGUGAGCCGCUUUAUAAAGUUUUAAAAAUGUGAUUUUAAAAAUUUCAUUAAUAUUAACGUUUAAUGCACUUAACUAUUUCAUCUUCUAUUUUUGUGAAUGAUUUAGUGAGAACUAGUUUUCAAGAAAACAUCUCAUUCAGUGUUGCCAAAGCUUCACAAUACUUACUGUGAUAUCCCUCCCCUCCGUGCAAAAGCUAUCGUUAGUUAAUCAUAAAGUAAAUAGCUGAUUCAUCAUGACUUUCAUUUAAAGGCAAAUAUUCUUCCCAUCUUCACAAGAAAAUCUAAUAGCACAAGCUUAAAACUGACUAGUAACAGAAUUUUGAUCUUAAUAGGUUAAGCAACUAUUCAAAUUUGAAAUUUUAAUAGAUGCUUAAUGUUGGCCAUAUGUCAUCAACUUUUUGAGACCAAAUAACUUUUUUAAGGAGAUGUGAAGCUAAGGAAAGGAUGAAAGAAUUUUAAUGAACAUGUAUAUUGUUGUGCAAGUGUUAUACCCAUUACGUGUUAGAGCCACAGGUUGUGUUUUAUCCUGUCUUGCUGCCUGUCUGGCAAGAAUCUCAACAAGAAUGCUGAGUGGCAAAUGUAUUAGUAUUUCUGUACCUGAACAAGAAGUAAGUGCUUUACAUCUUGUAGUAAGAUUGUGUGCCUAACGGAGAAGGACGACAUUGCAGUAUGUCAGUCCUGUUGAUUCAAAUGUGUUGAAAAUUAGCAUUGUUUAGGAGAAAACAUAGGUAGAAGAGUUGUGGGGACUAAACAAAGGCAGAGCAGCGCUGUUUGUGUCCAUGGGGUCUCUGGGGUGUCAUCUAGUGUAGGACAAUGCAGUUACCUGAGUGACUUGAGCCUUUUGCCCAAUUACUAUGGACAGUUGUGCAGUUUUACAUAGUAACUCUUCAGUGAGCAACCAUCACAUUGCAUAGCAGACUUGGUGGUUUUGCUGUGGAAAUACUGUAGCUUUUCCAUUGGAAAUGUUGUAACCACUUUUCUACUGUGUCUUUUACUGCCCUUAAACAGGUGGGGAAAGCUUUCUGUGACAGCAACCUGGUAGCGCAGAUGUUAAUUUUUGUACUGAAUCUACUUCAGCCAAGGAAGCCUCCAGAACAGCAUAGUAAUCCCUUUGUGCCUACAUCUCACAGCUCUGCGGUUUCUAACUCAGAUGUUCAGUGUCAUGACCACUGUGCCUCUUGGUGUCAUGGAAAUAGAGGUCUCAUUAUUAAUAUAGUAAGAGUCACACAGAAUUGUCCAACUUCACUGCUUUCUGAAGUUUAUUGUUGUCAGGGGGUGAGGGAGAAACUGCUGAGUUCGUGAAGGGAGCUGUGAAAUGUUGGCAAACUCAUACUAUGGUUUAGUUUCUGAAAUUUUGCCAAUUUUCUGAAACAUGGGUGAAACCGAACAGGCCAAGCUCUCUGUAAUGAUCCUUCUGUUUCAAGCUUUUGGGGCAGAUGGAAAAAAUCCAAGUCUUACAAUACAUACUUACAGCCAUGUGAGACUAUCCCAUCAAAUUUGAAAGGAAUAAGAUUCAGGUGGGUGGGAGGGAGCUAUGUGCUAAAUGCACAUUUAGAAACCUGUCUGUGGUAAUCAAAAACUUAAAUAAUUGUAAAACUAUGCUUUAGGGAAGAAAUUCUGCAUUCUGAUAAGCUUUUCCUUUAUAUGGAUGUUUUCAUUCCGAAUGACUUGGUGCAUCAUUUCUCUGAGAUCUAAAGGAAUAGGAAUACUCCUCAGGAACUAUUAGAGAUUUUUUUUGGAGGAGGAGAGAAAGUGUUUCUCUAAUUUCCAGAGGGUUUUUACUAGCUUUAAAAAUUCCUGUUGGGUCUGUAGGAGGUUUAACGUGGUCAAGAAAUGGCAGUUUGUAUCCUGUCUGGACUAAAUAAGGCAUAAUGCAUCAUCUAGAGUACAACCUGAUUUCACAUGCUAUUUGCAAGGAAAGAAUGGUUUGGGACAUGUCUGACCUGCUCUUGACAGUCUGGAAAAACUAUGGAUUUUUUUUUUUUAUAAAAAAAAAUCAGCAUUGAUAUAAAUCAGUAAUGUGAGUUUAACAAAGGAUGCAACUAUGGAUUUUGAAAGAGUAUUUUUAAAAUUCUAUUGAAAACAAUCCUAAAAGUGAUCUUAUCCUUGGGAUGGCAUAACAACCUUCAACUUUUGCUUCACUUGUGACUUUGAUACCACUUUCAGAAGUCAACAGCUAUAAUGUAUAAUUGUCACCAGUAUGGGUGGUGGGAGUAGAGAGGUAGGAGCUCUAGCAGAAGAUUACGAAGUUGAACUAAAUAGUCCAAAAGCUGGAAUGGUGCUAUGUUUUGGAUUUACAGUACUAAUCUGCUGCAUUAGUUUUCUCUUUCUUUGCUCUUGAAUUUGAGUUUCCUCCUUGAGUUUCAAAUGUGAUUUUUUUUUUAUUUUGUUUUUUUUUUCUCUCCCUUCAUUUCAGCACUCUGUAACUAGUAAGUAAUUUUGGUGAGAGAAUGAUCCUACAUCUCCGGGCAUUCCUGGUGUCAUCUGAAAUAUUAAUGCUUUUCUGCCAGUGUAAGGUAUUGACUAAUUUGUCUGUCUCCUCAUUUUCUUUCUGAUGAGUAUGUUACUUCGAUCUUGCAACAAAAACGAUUAUUGAGUCUAGCCAAAAUCUUUGAAACCAUAAAAGCUAUUUGAAGGGUUCAAGACAAACGUUCAAUGAAAAUUUAAAGUAAUUUCGGAUUUUUACUAAACCUCAAAUGAAUGUCCUUGCCUGCAUUUUGGCAUCCAGUUUCAGAAAAAUUGCUCCUUAAAGGAGCCUGCAUUUGAAACACCACACUUUGAAAUUCUUACCUUGUGCUUGAUUGAAAACUUGCUUUUGUCAUACUGCUUAGUGGGUAUACAACAUCGCCUUUUGGUAUCGGCAAUUCAUUCUGCUACCCCUUCCUUCUCUACCUCUCGCUCUCCUAGAAAGAGAUAUACCUAAAACAGCCAAGUCUUUUGGUCUAAUGUAGAAAAGAUUAAAAUUUUACAAAUUCCAUGUGACUUGCUUUUCUUUCUUUCUUUCUUUUUUUUUUUUUUUUUUUUUUUUUUUGAGGGAACAUUUUAUAGAGGAUAGGCAGGAAAAUUAAGUAAAAUCCACCCUCUAAGUGAUGGAGGAGUGAAAGAGAGAGACAGGAAUGCAUUUAAGUAUUAUUAAUGCCUAUUUUAAAAAGGAAGUGGGCUGGAAAAUAGAGCUACCAAUGUCAGUUCCUUAGAGUGAAAUACCAAUGCUUGAAAGAAUUAGAAACACACCCAUUAAAAGCAAAACUCAGAUGUGGUAACUUUUGUCUUCAAGCAGCUAGGGAUGGAAUCAAAAUACCCUGGCACCCUAGGUGACUUUCUGUGACUCUCCAGUUUUCAGUGGUAAUGCUACUAAAUUCAUUUUUCUAAACAUGCUAUGUAUAAGGUAGUGUUAAGAGGAAACAUUCAGUAUAUGCAGUUAGUUAUUGGUCACUGUGCAACUGCUACCACGCGUAAAUGGCGUGAAGUGUGUUAAUGAAUUGAUACUGCUAGUGAGCUCUCAUAGGAUGAGUAAUCUGGCACAGAGUAGUUACAGCAGAGCUGGCAGUUGAAUAGUGUUAAUCACAGUGAUGACUUUGAAUUCAGAUAAGUGUCUAUUAAAUGCUAUUAAAGUCAGAUGAGAUGUUGCUCUUUUUAAAUGCAUUUCCAGUGCUAUUAGCUUUCUGUCAUGAAGAGCCACUGAAAUUUCCAGGGACCUUUCUGGAAAAAGAGGCAUUUCUGGAAAGCAUUAGAAGAAACAAUCCUUGGACCACAGAGCAUCCUGAAGAGA